rnacentral:rRNA from 1 species
AGAGAUAGAAAGUUACUUCGGUACAUCGGUGACAGGUGGUGCAUGGUUGUCGUCAGCUCGUGUCGUGAGAUGUUGGGUUAAGUCCCGCAACGAGCGCAACCCCUAUUGUUAGUUGCCAUCAUUCAGUUGGGCACUCUAGCGAGACUGCCGGUAAUAAACCGGAGGAAGGUGGGGAUAACGUCAAAUCAUCAUGCCCCUUAUGACCUGGGCUACACACGUGCUACAAUGGUUGGUACAACGAGUUGCGAGUCGGUGACGGCGAGCUAAUCUCUUAAAGCCAAUCUCAGUUCGGAUUGUAGGCUGCAACUCGCCUACAUGAAGUCGGAAUCGCUAGUAAUCGCGGAUCAGCACGCCGCGGUGAAUACGUUCCCGGGCCUU